GAUGAACGCUGGCGGCGUGCCUAAUACAUGCAAGUCGAGCGAACAGACGAGGAGCUUGCUCCUCUGACGUUAGCGGCGGACGGGCGAGUAACACGUGGAUAACCUACCUAUAAGACUGGGAUAACUUCGGGAAACCGGAGCUAAUACCGGAUAAUAUAUUGAACCGCAUGGUUCAAUAGUGAAAGACGGUUUUGCUGUCACUUAUAGAUGGAUCCGCGCCGCAUUAGCUAGUUGGUAAGGUAACGGCUUACCAAGGCAACGAUGCGUAGCCGACCUGAGAGGGUGAUCGGCCACACUGGAACUGAGACACGGUCCAGACUCCUACGGGAGGCAGCAGUAGGGAAUCUUCCGCAAUGGGCGAAAGCUUGACGGAGCAACGCCGCGUGAGUGAUGAAGGUCUUAGGAUCGUAAAACUCUGUUAUUAGGGAAGAACAAAUGUGUAAGUAACUAUGCACGUCUUGACGGUACCUAAUCAGAAAGCCACGGCUAACUACGUG
rnacentral:rRNA from 1 species